rnacentral:rRNA from 1 species
UACGAAGGGGGCUAGCGUUGCUCGGAAUUACUGGGCGUAAAGCGCACGUAGGCGGCUCUUUAAGUCAGGGGUGAAAUCCUGGAGCUCAACUCCAGAACUGCCUCUGAUACUGGGGAUCUUGAGUCCGGAAGAGGUAAGUGGAACUGCGAGUGUAGAGGUGAAAUUCGUAGAUAUUCGCAAGAACACCAGUGGCGAAGGCGGCUUACUGGUCCGGUACUGACGCUGAGGUGCGAAAGCGUGGGGAGCAAACAGG